UAACUCCGCGCCUGUUCCGGGCCUCUCGGCUGGAGCCGGCUGCCGCGCGGCCUUAAUCGCCGCCGGGAUCUCUGCGCCCCCCAGGGCCGGGGAGGUAAAUUUAGCUUCAGGAAGCUCCGGGGAACAUUUUCCAAAACUCCACGUCUCGCAGCGGGCUAGACGGACCCCUCCGUGCGCAGCCUUCCCCGGCCGGCCACCAGGCGGCGCAGGUCUUCCGGCUCCGGGGACCCAGCCAGCUGGGAGUUAGGGUCGCUGUUUGUUUGUUUGUUUGUUUGUUUGAGUCAGGGUCUCCACUGUGUUGUCCUUCAGGCUGGCCUUGAGCUUGUGGCAACCCUUCUGCCUCAGCCUCCCGAGUGCGCCCCCACACUCAGCGAGGGUCGCUGCUGCUUUGAAGCUGGAGUAGGUAAAGGGCAGUGAAUAACAGCUGGAAGAAAAGUCCUCACCAAGGCUGUCCAGGACGCUGGGAUCUGAAAACCACUGAGAAAAGGGGUGGGGACUUCUGUGUAUCCAGCGGGAUGUAACUCACAGACCUUAACCGCUGUCCACUGCCUGCCUCUUGCACACCACCGAGGGUUCCGCCAGCGUUGUGAUCCGCAGGGCCUUGGAAGCCGGCCUGGACUCUUGCUGCCCGACCCGGGUUCCCUUACGGCCCUGCGGCGGGGUGUGCUCCAAUCCCGCCCUACCCCUUGUGGCCACUUGAGGGCGCGGGCGCGCCGAGGGCUAGGUGUGCCUUUACCCCUCCCCCCAGGACACCUGCUUUCCUGCAGGCUGCUCUCUCAAAACCGGAGUUACUGCUUGGGGAGUUGAUGUGGGGAGGCUUCAGCGGUUUGUUUUUGUUUUUUCCUUCUCCAGGAGUAGAGAGAGCUAUGGGCCAGGGGUCAGGGUGGAUUAGAUAGGACACGAUUGGGGCUGCCACAUUCUAGAACGAGGGAAGUUUAGGAUUGAGGUGCGGGUUGUGUGUCCUUCCUUGCUUGCCUGGCUCCUGCCUGCCGGCAAACAGAAAAGAAAGGCGGGCUAAUUAGAAGAAGCCCUGAAUUUGAUUUUUUUUUUUUUUUUUAAAGGCAAGUAUUUCACUGUGUUGCCCCAGGCUGGUCUGAUUUCUGGGCUUGUGAAAUUCUGCCUCAGCCUUCUGAGUGAUUAGAGCUAGAGGCACCCAAAGUCAGACCUGUACAGUCCUGAAUUUGAGGUCUGAAAAAGUGGAUUCACUGCAUGACCGUUCUGCCGCCUGACUUGGUGAAUC